GAAGUCAGUGGCGCACGAGUGGAGUAACGCGUGGGAAACUGCCCUUCACUGGGGAAUAACGUUUGGAAACGAACGCUAAUACCGCAUACGCCCGCAAGGGGAAAGAUUUAUCGGUGAUGGAUGUGCCCGCGUUGGAUUAGCUAGUUGGUGGGGUAAUGGCCUACCAAGGCGAUGAUCCAUAGCUGGUCUGAGAGGACGAUCAGCCACGCUGGAACUGAGACACGGUCCAGACUCCUACGGGAGGCAGCAGCUAAGAAUAUUGGGCAAUGGAGGAAACUCUGACCCAGCCAAUGCCGCGUGAAUGAAGAAGGCCUUCGGGUUGUAAAGUUCUUUUAGUCAUGAAGAUGAUGACAGUAGUGACAGAAAAAGCACCGGCUAACUUCGUGCCAGCCGCUGC
rnacentral:rRNA from 1 species